GACGAACGCUGGCGGCGUGCUUAACACAUGCAAGUCGAACGGAAAGGCCCCUUUUGGGGUCCUCGAGUGGCGAACGGGUGCGUAACACGUGAGUAACCUGCCCUUGACUUCGGGAUAACUUCAGGAAACUGGGGCUAAUACCGGUUAGGAAUCCUUUCUUCAUGGUCGUGGUUGGAAAGCUUCGGCGGUUUUUGGUGGACUCGCGGCUUAUCCGCUUGUUGCUGGGGUAGUUGCUUACCAAGGCUUUGACGCGUAGCCGGACUGAGAGGGCGACCGGCCACAGUGGGACUGAGAUACGGCACAGACGGCGACGGGAGGGAGAAGGGGGGAAGAUUGAACAAGGGGCGGAAGGCUAAUGCAGAAACGCCGCGGGCGGUAGGACGGGGUUAGUGUUGGAAAACGAAUUCAGCAGGGGCGAAGCGUGUGGUGACGGUACCUGAAGAAGAAGCACCGGCUAACUACGUG
rnacentral:rRNA from 1 species